rnacentral:rRNA from 1 species
CCAGUGAGGGAAUUAAGGACGGCACAUUGUCCUUGUAACGGGGAUCCAGCAGGGUGGCCGCCCAGUAAUCAGCAGAAGUUAGAAUGUGGGCAUCUCGGCAGUCGUUGCGCAGGUACUUUGGUGACUCUAGAUAACUUCGGGACGAUCGCACGUCCCUGUGACGGCGACAACGCAUUCGGAUGUCUGCCCUGUGGACUUUCGAUGGUACUUUCUGCGCCUAGCAUGGUGACCACGGGCAAUGGGGAAUCAGGGUUUGAUUCGG